rnacentral:rRNA from 1 species
UACGAAGGGUGCAAACGUUGCUCGGAAUUAUUGGGCGUAAGGCGCACGUAGGCGGCAUUGCAAGUCGGAUGUGAAAUCCCUCGGCUUAACCAAGGAAGUGCAUCCGAAACUGCAGUGCUUGAGUACUUAAGAGGAUCGCGGAAUUCCCGGUGUAGAGGUGAAAUUCGUAGAUAUCGGGAGGAACACCAGUGGCGAAGGCGGCGAUCUGGGAAGAUACUGACGCUGAGGUGCGAAAGCGUGGGGAGCAAACAGG